CCUACGGGAGGCAGCAGUGAGGAAUAUUGGUCAAUGGACGCAAGUCUGAACCAGCCAUGCCGCGUGCAGGAAGACGGCUCUAUGAGUUGUAAACUGCUUUUGUACGAGGGUAAACGCAGAUACGCGUAUCUGUCUGAAAGUAUCGUACGAAUAAGGAUCGGCUAACUCCGUGCCAGCAGCCGCGGUAAUACGGAGGAUUCAAGCGUUAUCCGGAUUUAUUGGGGGUAAAGGGAGCGUAGACGGUGCGCCAAGUCUGGAGUGAAAUGCCGCAGCUUAACUGCGGAACUGCUUUGGAAACUGGCGAACUAGAGUGCGGGAGGGGUAAGCGGAAUUCCUAGUGGAGCGGUGAAAUGCAUAGAUAUCACGCAGAACUCCGAUUGCGAAGGCAGCAUACCGGCGCCCAACUGACGCUGAAGCACGAAAGCGUGGGUAUCGAACAGGAUUAGAUACCCCAGUAGUC
rnacentral:rRNA from 1 species